rnacentral:rRNA from 1 species
UCCAGACUCCUACGGGAGGCAGCAGUGGGGGAUAUUGCACAAUGGGGGGAACCCUGAUGCAGCGACGCCGCGUGAAGGAAGAAGUAUCUCGGUAUGUAAACUUCUAUCAGCAGGGAAGAAAAUGACGGUACCUGACUAAGAAGCCCCGGCUAACUACGUGCCAGCAGCCGCGGUAAUACGUAGGGGGCAAGCGUUAUCCGGAUUUACUGGGUGUAAAGGGAGCGCAGGCGGCACGGCAAGCCUGAUGUGAAAGCCCGCGGCCCAACCGCGGGACUGCAUUGGGAACUACCGGGCUGGAGUGCAGGAGAGGUAGGCGGAAUUCCUGGUGUAGCGGUGAAAUGCGUAGAUAUCAGGAGGAACACCGGUGGCGAAGGCGGCCUGCUGGACUGCGACUGACGUUGAGGCCCGAAAGCGUGGGGAGCAAACAGGAUUAGAUACCCCCGUA